rnacentral:rRNA from 1 species
UACAACAGUCGCAAGCUCGCGAGAGUAAGCUAAUCCCUUAAAGCCGUUCUCAGUUCGGACUGUAGGCUGCAACUCGCCUACACGAAGUCGGAAUCGCUAGUAAUCGCGGAUCAGCAUGCCGCGGUGAAUACGUUCCCGGGCCUUGUACACACCGCCCGUCACACCAUGGGAGUUUGUAACGCCCAAAGUCGGUGGCCUAACCUUUAUGGAGGGAGCCGCCUAAGGCGGGACAGAUGACUGGGGUGAAGUCGUAACAAGGUAUC